rnacentral:tRNA from 1 species
GCAAUCAUAGCUUAAUUGGUAAAGCCCUAUCUCGAGGGGGAGUUAUCGGUUCAAAUCCGGUUGAUUGCA